GGAAAUGUGGCUUAGUUGUAGAGUGCUUGCCUAGCAUGCAUGAUGCAGUGGGUUCGAGUCCUCCGUUCCA
rnacentral:tRNA from 1 species